rnacentral:Y_RNA from 1 species
GGCUUGUUCAAAGGUACUGAAUUUUCUCGGUUGAUUACAGUCAGUUACAGAUUGAACUCUUUGUUCUACCCUUCCCCUACCUUCUCACUAUUGCACUUGACUAGUCUUUA